rnacentral:lncRNA from 1 species
GGAGACACAUGGCUAUGGUGCCACACACAGAAAUCAAGCUUUGCAUCUUGCUUCCAAUUGCUGUUGUAUAGCUACCAGACACCAAACCACGGAGCUCGCAGGGGCUAACCUGUUUACAAGAGGUGCGCUGAUUCCUGUGGUUUCACAAGUUCCUUGGAAAGAUGUCUGAAGAGGCUUUCCGUCACCGACACGAACAAAGGCAGGCUUCCCAAGGUCUUUCCCAUGGCUACAGAAAUGAUCCAGAGGUUUCCCCAUGCAGGAAUUCAUGGUAGAGGCAGAGAUUGGCAAGUGUCAUGAGAAGAAGUUGCUGGUGGUGCUCCUGAGCUUGUGUCCACUGCAAGUGGCAGGUGAGAUGCAAAUACUUGCAGCAGUGUGGUGCAGUGGCAUCUCUGUGUCCCUCACAGCGGGCCUGGGCAUGGAGGAGGGCUGUGGGAAGACACACCUGCCCAUCCCUACAAGCGGUGUUUGGUGCCAAGCCACAUGGAGCUGUCAUUUGGUUGAUGCCGCUUACUCACAAAUAUUGCUGCUGUCUGUGCUGGAUUUAAUUUUGGAGGGAUUGAAAGAAAGUACCUUGGGAAGGAUUGUACGAGGAGAAGUUGCAUAAACCUUUUUUCCUGACUCAACUUUGUUGUUUUCACAAAUGUGGAACACAUUUGGCCUGGCAUCCCAUUUGAUUUGUUUACUGCUUUUGUGUCCCACAUUUGCAGAGGCUUUCCAAACACAGACACUUCUCUCAUCUGGCCUCUGUCUGUCUUCUGCACAGAAACCUCAGUAUAGGUGGGUGGAGUACAUGUCCACGGCAUUUGGGUGGGCUGUGAAGGGGAACAUGGUGAACUUUUGGAAUAACCUGGGCUGUACUUCAAGCUUGCCCACGGUUCAAGUGUGGAAAUUAUGGGAUUUGUUUGGGAAAUGAUGUUAGGCAAUACCAGCUAUCAGCCCCUACCUUGGUUGCACACAGCUCGCUCUUUACAUGAUCCGCCCCUGGAUGUGGAAUAUUACAGCACUGUUACGAAUUAUUCAGUCUGUGUGCUUUGGAAAGUAUGCACCAUGGCUCGUUUUCAAACAUCACUUUUGUUAUAAACAUCAGUGGCUCCUACAGUGACCUGAAACUAGUCAGGUAGAAUUUAAAAGAGCAAAGAAUUUCACAGAUGGCUGAUUUGUUACUUCAUUGUGGUGUGUGUAAAUAGUUCUCUGCUUUAAAAAAUAUAUCCUUGCAUUCUAGAUAAGACUGUUACUAGUUUUUCGUACAACCGUAACUCCCACGUUAGGUGGGAUGUGUUUCAGUCAAAUCAAACUGAAAGAAGGAACAAACCCAUCCUCUCAGCCCAGCCUUUUUCCAGCCGGAGCCUUCUUCCUAACCACUGUUUCAUCUGGCCUUGCCCUUUUCAGAUAUGCUGAGAAUAAAGUCCUAGCUCCACUGUCCUUGCCACUUGGUAUAUCUGCCAGAAGGUUGGGAGACCUAAAAAGGGUAAUUUUUUUUCUGCAUAUACGCUGAGGCUUGUUGUAUAAACACUGUCAUACUGCAGCCUUUCAGAAAUGCAUUGGCUUCACUUAAACGCCUCUGUAACGGCCCAGAAGAAGAAACUUUUCCCCAGAAGCAGUUACCUAGCAUGCAUCAUUCUUGGCAGUAUCUGCAAAUAAACUUCUUGUAAUUGAUUUAAGAAUUUUCAAAUAAAAAAAUUAUGAUAGCUGCGGACAGCUAUAAAUAACAGAAAUGAAACACAUUAUUUGCACUGUGCCUUCACAUGCACUUGUUUAGCUCUUUCUCCUGUUAAGUUAAAACAUCUGUUUCUAUGGAAGUGGAGCGUUCCAUGCAACAAACACAGCACUGGAAGUGACCCACAUAUUAAAUGACAACAUUUGACAAAUUCUAGCAGUUGAUUACUGGGGAGGAGUAGACUGUGGUUAUAAUCAGAGUAAACCAAAAAAAUGUGUACCUUUAUAAACCUAGAUUUUAAAUGAAACAUCUGUACUAAAUCAUGUUUGUAGAACAGCACUGUAGCCAACUACCAGACCAUAUGAUAAUAGGGUGUUUUUAACAAUCCCUAUUUCCAUCACCAUCCUCCAAAUCAGAUCCAGACUAUGCCCAAUGGCAUGAAUUCUGCUGGAAACCAACUGAGAUAGCAUCAGGCUACAGCAGAUGCUGUCAGUUUAAGAUACAGAUACCCUUUAAAAGUUAGUGAUUGCAAUACCUCAUAGAGAUUAUAAGCACAGGUAGAAACUCAGUGAAUAUUGGGGUGCUUUGUAGGAAACAGCCUUUUCCAGGCGUAUUUUAACCAAGGCUUACACACUGGUAAAAGGUGGAUAUGGCAGGGGGGUUGGAACUAGAUGAUCUUAAGGUCCUUUCCAACCCUAACCAUUCCAUGAUGCUAUGAUAUGAUGCAGUGUCCAUGGAAUCUUAUUCUUAAGAACUGUGAGUGUGUAGCAAGAAAGUGGCUAUUCAAAUUGCAGCAGCAGGUCAGCUGGUGAUAAACCAAGAGUGCUCAGGCUGGCACCAAAGCCAGGUUUGGCAGCUCAUUUAAACACAAUUCUUUGGGUCUGUGAAACUGGUAUACAAAGGUCAAGUAAGUACAAUGUUCUUUGAGUGCUUCCUGUUGCUAUUAAGUGGAUACAAAACAAAAGAAAAUUAGUUUAGUCCACCUCUUUAUGUAGAUUCUUGAACUGAUAUUCAUUAGUAUAAUCUGAACAUACAGAUUUUCUUAUUACUGUGGAAUAUUCUCGGAAUUAAUUUAAAAAACAACUAAGUGUCCAAACCUUGUAUUAGCUUUACAUAGUCACUACAUUCUUUCCAAAACAUAAAAGGCAAACCCACCCUGCAAAUACAUUGUUAGUUUUAGAUGGCCUGCCAUUAAAAAGUUGCCAUUUUAUUAGGAAAACCUGUUCAGAAUUCCUUGACCAACAUAAGUGACACCCAAUAAAAACUGUAAUAUUGAAAGAGUGAAAUAUUACUUGAGUGACACUCAAGAAAUAAUAGUUAUUUGGCACAGGGGAAGUUCUCACUCUGAACAGAUAGAUGAGUGCCAUUUGACAGGAAUUAAAGGACAGGCUACAUUAACAGGGAACAAAUAAUAUUUUGAGUGGUGGUGUCAACAGUUGCAGUUAUAGGUUAGCAGGACAUACCUAAAAUACUAUAAUAAUGCAAUUAUCUCAUUACUUAGAGCUAACCUAGCAAGGCAUUAUGUCUAUAAGGAGUUAAUAGGAUUCUUAUUUAAGAACAAGGAACAAGUUUUUAAGAUAGCGUGAAAGUUAUACAAUGAGGAGGUAGGGAAAAAUCUGUACAGUAUUCAUCUUACAUUUUGAUGUAUUUUGAUGAUCCCAUACUUUGUUUUGAACAUUCUAUUUAAGUUUACUAAUAAUAUAUAAGAAGCUUAAAUACUUUCACCACCACCAUAAUAGAAAUUGUGACUGAUAAGUUACUGAAUUCAAGAAUAACAACAGGAAAGUGGACUACCAGUGUAACCAGUGUGCUUAAAUGUAGAGAAAAACUUGAAAUAAAAAGCUGAAUUGCUUUUUUUUUUUUUUUGAGCUAAACACAAAAUGGGGGGCAGAGAAUGUUAAAGCACAAAAGGCUUAGAAAUACAAGAUCAUCUUUGGUCUUAUGCUUUAUUAAAACAUUUUCAUAGAUUUAUAGAUGUUAUUGUCACAAGGGACUAUUAGAUCAUCUGGUGUGACUUGAUCUUGUAUAAAAGCAACGUCUAGAGUGUCCUCUGAGAGGGCUAUUCCUCAAUUUAUUUGAUACUGUAUAACUAAUAACUUACAGUGCUAUUAGACAAAAUGAAACCCUUUGUCAUCUAGAUCUUUAAUGAAAUAAUUCUCACAAUGUGUCUCUUGAAUACCCAUUUCUAUGAUGGCAUUUAUUUAAAAAUCCAAUACAAAACUUAAUUCCUAGUAUUUACCUGAGUUUCAAGUUGCUUGCUUCUGGUGUCAUAGCAUUGACAAAUAAAACCACUUGAUCUGGACCAUCUAAAUUUUCCCUAUUCUUUGGCUUCUUUCAGUGUCGGGCCAUCAGUAUAUAUUUCAGUAUAUUACUUUCUGAGUUAUUUAUAAUGGCACAGAUGAACUGUUGUAUAAAGUUGAAAAAAUACCUCUGAACCUGCCAACAUCAGUGUCUAGUUUCUUAAUACUAACCUUUUGGUUUGGAAGUGUUUUACAAUGGUUGUAUGUCUGACUAAUGAAAGUUGUCAGCUUAAUCUACUUCAUCAAAUACACUACUAACUAAAAUUCUACUUCUAUUUAGGAAGAGUGUUAGUAAUUGAUGAAAUAAUUCCAAAUUCUAUAACAGCAGUUUCAGAGGGCUUUUUACGCCACAACAUGAAGGCCGCAAGUUGCACACUAUACCUCAUCACUCAUGAACAGAAUAGCUUUAUAUGCACAGUAAAUAACAGCUAAAUUAAAUGGAAUGAGUAUUUUAGACAAGUUAGCAGUCCAGAUAAAUUUUGGGCCAUCUUUCUUAAAAUACGUUAGUCAGGUAGAGUUACUCUUCUCUCAAGAAAUGCAGUUACACCCUAACCUCAUGAUUUUCACAACUGUCUGGUAUUAAACUCACUCCAGCAGAGACAUGUUGAAUUCUGUAAUGUCAGGGAGCAUGACCGCCACCAUUUUGUAAUUCUAUUGCAUUUUUCUUCUCAUAUCAUGUACCAUUAUUUAAUUCCAUUUUGCCAUUCCUGUGUUGUGUGGGAUUCUGCCUGCAUGGCAUGACAGUUGAAAGUCUGGCACGGAUUCUUGACAGCUGUUUUGAAGUGAAGGCUGCGAUGCGUGCUACAUCUGGAGGUGCUGAGGUUUGAGUGCAGACAGUGGAAAAGUCCAAUUUCUCUUUAGGGAUGACUGGGAUAGAUUUACAAUAUCUAAGCUCUCAUUCAGGAAGGGGACUCCAUAAGGAUCUACUCAGGCAGAUGCCGUUGCAAAAUGAAAGCCAAAGAUUCUAUGGCACAUUUUGUGAUACUACAAAAUAAGUUAAAUUAAAACAAGUUAAAUAUUGAGUUAGAGGACUCAUGAACAUUGUCUAUACUAUCCUGAAGUGGCAGCCAAAAGAUAUCAGUUUUCUGUCUGAUUUCCUUCUAAUUUUUAAGAUAUGGUUUUGUUUAUUUAUUGUAUAUGAAAGUAAAGUUGGACCUAGGCUUCAGAUCAAACUCGAUGGAUGGCAGGAGAAUUGCUAAAAUGGUAAUACUAUCAAUGUCGGGAAA